GACGAACGCUGGCGGCGUGCCUAAUACAUGCAAGUCGAGCGGGACUCUUCGGAGUCUAGCGGCGGACGGGUGAGUAACACGUGGGCAACCUGCCUGUAAGACUGGGAUAACACCGGGAAACCGGUGCUAAUACCGGAUAAUCCUUUUCCUCUCAUGAGGAAAAGCUGAAAGUCGGUUUCGGCUGACACUUACAGAUGGGCCCGCGGCGCAUUAGCUAGUUGGUGAGGUAACGGCUCACCAAGGCGACGAUGCGUAGCCGACCUGAGAGGGUGAUCGGCCACACUGGGACUGAGACACGGCCCAGACUCCUACGGGAGGCAGCAGUAGGGAAUCUUCCACUAUGGACGAAAGUCUGAUGGAGCAACGCCGCGUGAGCGAUGAAGGCCUUCGGGUCGUAAAGCUCUGUUGUUAGGGAAGAACAAGUACCGGAGUAACUGCCGGUACCUUGACGGUACCUAACCAGAAAGCCACGGCUAACUACGUGCCUGCAGCAGCCGCCG
rnacentral:rRNA from 1 species